GAUGAACGCUGGCGGCGUGCCUAAUACAUGCAAGUCGAGCGAACAGACGAGGAGCUUGCUCCUCUGACGUUAGCGGCGGACGGGUGAGUAACACGUGGAUAACCUACCUAUAAGACUGGGAUAACUUCGGGAAACCGGAGCUAAUACCGGAUAAUAUAUUGAACUGCAUGGUUCAAUAGUGAAAGACGGUUUUGCUGUCACUUAUAGAUGGAUCCGCGCCGCAUUAGCUAGUUGGUAAGGUAACGGCUUACCAAGGCAACGAUGCGUAGCCGACCUGAGAGGGGGAAAGGACACAAGGGAAAUGAGACACGGGCGAGACGAAGCAGGGAGGCAGCAGGAGGGAGAAGUACGCAAGGGGCGAAAGCAUGAAGAAGCAAAGCCGAGUGAGUGAUGAAGGUAUUAGGAUCGUAAAACUCAGUUAUGAGAGAAGAACAGAUGUGUAAGUAACAGUGCACAACUUGACGGUACCUAAUCAGAAAGCCACGGCUAACUACGUG
rnacentral:rRNA from 1 species